rnacentral:misc_RNA from 1 species
AUGAAAUUACGUUACUAAUAUUUCGAAUUUGACUGUAAAAUUACUCGUAAACUUGGGAAGGUAGGCGUGGAGUUAACACAACUUGGAGUGGAGUUUUUUUAAGGCUUGUCAAUCCAAUACUCUCUUCCAUGUCAAGCAGUUCUUCUGAUGGCCGAUCAAUUUCAAAUCCAUGAAGAAAGUUUGAAAGUGUAAGAUGGAUUAUUUGAAGGGCAAAUGAAAUUGCAGGGCACAUCCUUCGCCCAUUACCAAAUGGUAUCAAUUGGGGACUUUGUCCUCUAACAUCAAAAUUUGUUUGAGUUGUUAGAAACCUUUCGGGACGAAAUUCACAAGGAUCCUCCCAAACACGUGGGUCUUUCUGAAGCUUUUGAACAUUAACUAUGAGGCGUGUCCCUUUAGGGAUGUGAUAACCAACAACUAUGCAAUCUUCUAUGGAUUCAUGAGGAACUAAGAGCGGUGCAGCAGGAUACAACCGUAGAGUUUCCUUAACAAUAGCUUGGAGAUAGGGUAGAUUUUUCAGAUCUGACUCUUUUACUUGUCUUUCUCUUCCAACUUGUUCGUCUAAUUCAAGUUGAGCCUUCUUGAGUGCUCCUUUAUUGUUGAGAAGUAAAGAAAGGGUCCAUGUCAUUGUAAUUGAUGUAGUGUCAAAUCCACCUAAUAUCAUAUUCAAGCAUGUAGCUUUAAUAACUGUAUCAGCAUCACAACUAAAAUGUUGUUCAUCAUCUUGAACUGUUGAAAUCAUCACAUCCAUGAAGUCUUGUUCCUCCAUCUUCACUUCACUACAAUUAUUUGUCUUGUCUCGAUGCUCUUUGAGGAAUUUAUCGAACACCUCAUCAAUUAUUUUGGCUGUCUUCUUCAUUGCCUUCUCAUGUCCUCCCAAGUCCAACCAACUCAAAAAUGGAAAUGAAUCUGAUGGAAUGAAUAUACCAAACAAUCCAAAGAAAUCUAGCAACACGUUUUGAAACUUUUUACUACCAUGCCCCAUAGUGGAGAAUCUCUUUCCAAUCACUAUCUUGAAUAUGAAAUUCAAGGUCAUGUCUGCCAAUCUCUUUUUCAUUUCUACCACCACUUUUUCACCUUUGUUAUUGAGCCACAAGCCAUAGAGUUCCUUCAUCCAAGUCUUAACCUCAAAUCCUCUUAUGUGUUGAAGUUGGUCGACGCGGUGGCUCGUGAGGAGUUCGAGCGUGGCUAUUUUGCGUACAUGGCGCCAGUGUGGAGUGUAGGGACUGAAUCCCAUCAUGGCAUAGUCAUAGCCAAGGAGCUUUGAGGCUACAAGUUUUGGACGAGACGCAAAGAUUCUAUCGUUUGUAGUAAAAAACUCUUUUGCUAUUUCCCAAUUACUCACAAUCAAUGCCUUUUUCAUACCAAACCUAAAUGUGAACAUUGGUCCAUACGCAUCCGCCAUUUUGGCCAAUGUUAUGUGAGUUGGUUCACUUGCAUUUAGUAGAUAGAGGUGACCAAUCACCGGCCAAGCGCCACCGGCUUCCGGUGGGAGCCGCUUUCGUUGAGCGAUGGAUCUCCGGGACCAAGUGAAGAGAGCAUAGAAAAAUAAAAGAACGGGAAAGAUUAUUCCGAGGAAGGCAUGAAGCUUUUCCAUUUGAUGUGUGCUUCUCUA